GGGAAUAUUGGACAAUGGGCGAAAGCCUGAUCCAGCAAUACCGCGUGAAUGAUGAAGGCCUUAGGGUUGUAAAGUUCUUUUAGCAGGGAAGAUAAUGACGGUACCUGCAGAAAAAGCCCCGGCUAACUCCGUGCCAGCAGCCGCGGUAAGACGGAGGGGGCUAGCGUUGUUCGGAAUUACUGGGCGUAAAGAGCGCGUAGGCGGUUUAGUAAGUUGGAAGUGAAAGCCCGGGGCUUAACCUCGGAAUUGCUUUCAAAACUGCUAGGCUAGAGUGUAGUAGGGGAUGAUGGAAUUCCUAGUGUAGAGGUGAAAUUCUUAGAUAUUAGGAGGAACACCGGUGGCGAAGGCGGUCAUCUGGGCUACAACUGACGCUGAGGCGCGAAAGCGUGGGGAGCAAA
rnacentral:rRNA from 1 species